GAAGAGAAACGCAAACCAGGUUGUUUGCGAUACGACACUCGUAAAACGCAGAAAAGGGACUGAGUGAGACAUAACAAAAAUCGAUGAUGCAAACUGUUAGACGUAAAUUUUGACCUAGGAGCAAUGAAUAACAAGUGGGUGGAAGUAGCUUACGACUGCUCACAGCAUACACCAUGAUUUGUUAGAUGUCAUUGCCGGAAGUGGUAGGCGUUAAAGUUUACCCAAUUAUGAAGAAUUAGGGUGGUCUUAAAAGGAAUCCAGUAGAAGAAGAGGCGGGCCAGAAAUAAAAAAUUGGUCGAUAGUUCAGUUGGAACGAUGGAAAGAAUCAGUUAACUACUCACUUCUGGAUGCAUAACUUGUGUCGGUUUAAACUCCGUUUAUCUUGUGUCAUUAAGACGUGUGAUAGGAAAGUGAAAUUGUGUGUUUUACAAUAAUAAUUAAGAAUAAAAAAGUGUUUAACUUGGCCAGAAUUCUAAAGGAAACCGAACUCACAUAUUUUCUCUACGUGAUUUGCCUCCUGAGAGACCAACCAAGAAGAUCGAGAAUUGGCCAGUAUGCAGAAACUGUAGUCCAGAAGAAUAGAGAAGUAUUAGAAAUAUAUUAUAUGAUACGUUCUUAAUAGAGAUAGAAACUCAACGCUGUGUAGAUAAAGAGUACCACCAUAUAACAUAUAACAAAUAAUAACCAAAAAUAAAAGGGAACGAAGAACUUUGUAACAUAAAAAUGGUGGUAGCGAAUAUGGGAUUCUAAGUGCAAAAGACCAACGCGUAUAGUGACUAAACACACAUACACACACCGACACAGUGGAGAUGUAAAAGGCGGAGAAAAUAUAAUACCUUCCAACAGACAUAUUAAUGACUUAUCGCUGAAAAGCGGAGAGCAUAGUGAUUAGCGCUAUAACAACGGAACCAACAACAACAAAAUUUCGAAGGCACAAACAUUCUACAAUUGAAGAAAAGAAUCACAGAGUUCAAUAACUCGAAGAACGAAGAAAAGGGAAAUUCGUCGAAGUGUAAGGAACUAUAUCUCCUAGACUGGGCACCCGCCUAGACUCAACAACUUCAUCAAAUUCAUCAAGCGGAAGUGACCUACUUCUCCCAGUGGCGAAAUGCAGUGAGAAGCUACGAAGAUUAGUGGACGUCCGUAAUGGUGUAGUCAUUGCAGAAUUCCUCAAUCCCCAAGCCAACUUGAUUGUUCAUAUUAGCGGAAAAACAGGAACUUCAAAUUCAGCACAGCAGAGCUUCAUAACAAACCAUUGACUGAAUUCUUCAAUCAACAUAAGAGCGCUAACCAUCAUUACGGUAGAGAUAGCGCCCAAUUCACCAACAGCGACGACAGUCAUCACGAAAGAGGACGGUGGUGACGGCAGUGAAAAAUUUACAAGGCAGCACGGAAGUGUUCGACGCAACCAGAAACCAAAGAAAGAAGAAUUGAAGGAAGAAAUCGUUAGAUGUAAUCAUAUAAGAAAAUUAUAUAGGCAAGAUAGGGACUACAUAGUACGAUAAGACUUCUGCCAACGUGAAGAUAAUUUUGGUGACCAGUCACUAACUCGCAACCUCGUACUUCAACUCACCUUAGCAGCGCCCUCUUGGUAGCCAUCAUUAUCGUAUGUGUACCUGAAGACUCCUACAGGCUGGCCAUUAGUAGCAGAUCCCUUGGUUUCACGCAUCUUUCUUAUAUGGUGGGGGCAGAAGUCAGGUAAGGCUCUGAAGAGAUCCAUACCCUUAUGUUCACCCUUAACGAGAGUGUAUAUGAUUCCCAGAGGAAUGAACACCACAGAUACUGCAAACAAGAGCCAACCAAGAGACUGUAUGUUGUCUGGAUACACAUAGCUUCCCCAGGAGGCCGGGACGUAGUAGUAGAUGGACAAAAUGAAGAUGAUCUGGAAUGAAGAGAAUUUUGCUUUAUGUAUCAAUCUCCAUUAGAUAUGGAAGAGGUGGCCAGUAUUUCACUGACGUGCAAAAAUUACCUUAUCACUUUUAAAACUAUUUAAUCUCACGCCAGCUAGUUGUUUAUUAGAAUAAAUUAAUUUCCGCUCAUUUAGAUUAAAUGAGAACCAUCUUAAAACAUAAGACUUCAACGGCAAAUCGUUGAAAUGUCUAGACCUGUGGUCCUUAAACUUUUUUUUUUUUUUGGCAGUGACCCAAAAUCUUGUCCAAAUUAACCAUGGCGACCCAUGCCUUCAUACAAAAAAUUUUUGUACAAUUAUUCACAUGAAAAAAUGUUUUACAGAAACAAAAAUGACUUGCAGAGGUAUUUAUUAAUGCAAGUAACAUACCUGCAUAACAACGAUCCAUGAAAGAGAAACAAUGCAUUAACUCGCUUAAAGAAAACCGAAACAUUUUUGUUUCGUGAUAUAAAAUUAAAAGUAUAAUUAGGCUAUGAUUUACCACUGUGGAGGAAGAAAAUCAAAAUCAUUCAUGCAAGCCUACUUAACAUGUAGUAGGCUACUAUUACAAUCGAUGAGAACCUUGACACUGGAUUGUUUUGAGCAGCUCCUCAAAUCUGGGUCGUUUUGACGAUAGAUUGGAUCCCAGGCCAUCCUCUGGUUGCAGGCGGUUUCCGCACUGCUGAAAAUCCUGCCUCACACAAGAACGUUGUAGCAGAGGGAAGGAAUGCUUUUUCAGGGCUUCACCUCCGAGAAUCGGCAUUGCUUCGUAUACUAUUACCCAAAAUGAGGUCGGUGUUUUGCCUUUUGAAAUUGUAAAGAAGCGUUUCAUCAUUUUGAAUCUCGAUAAGCUGCUCCCGUAGCUUGCUGAUGUUGGGAAGAUUUUUGUCUCUCUAUAAUGUUCCGCUUAGGUAUCAACGAAUGAUGCAUUUUUAAUACAAUAUUUUCUCUUAAUAAUGAUAAUAAAUAUAGUGAGAGCAUUGUGGAAAUAAUAUAUAACCCAUUGAAAUGGUUUGGCGACCCAACUUUUGGGUCACAACCCUAGGCUUAAGAACCACUGGUCUAGACCAACAACCAUGACUCUUCAGCAGGAUAAAGACAUUGCAAGUAAAUGUAUGGCUCUGUCAGACAGCUUCUAAGCAUAAAAGACGCUGAAAUGGAGAAAUGGAAAUUCUUGGGGCUGUCAGGUAAAGCAUUUGACAAAAACCUUGCAUUUAUCUGAAAACAAAAAAAAAGCAAUACUCACAAUGAGGGACGCUGGUGUGAUCACUGUCCAAGUGGCCAUCCAAUAACCAUAAAGUGGAGCGGGAACCCAUAUCCCCAUUUCUUCAGUUAUGAAGCGCAUGAACUUCUUGAAUCC